UCUGGUACCUUCAAUUUUAUGAUUGUAUUUCAGGCUGAACAUAAUAUUCUUAUGCAUCCAUUUCAUAUGUUAGGCGUAGCUGGUGUAUUCGGCGGCUCCCUAUUCAGUGCAAUGCACGGUUCCUUGGUAACUUCUAGUUUAAUUAGGGAAACCACAGAAAAUGAAUCUGCUAAUGAAGGUUACAGAUUCGGUCAAGAGGAAGAAACCUAUAAUAUUGUGGCUGCACAUGGACU